AUACGGAGGGUGCAAACGUUGUUGGGAAUUACUGGGCGUAAAGCGCGCGUAGGCGGUUUGUUAAGUCAGAUGUGAAAGUCCACAGCUCAACUGUGGAAGUGCAUUUGAAACUGGCAGACUUGAGUACUGGAGGGGGUGGUGGAAUUCCCGGUGUAGAGGUGAAAUUCGUAGAUAUCGGGAGGAAUACCGGUGGCGAAGGCGACCACCUGGCCAGAUACUGACGCUGAGGUGCGAAAGCGUGGGGAGCAAACAGGAUUAGAUACCCUAGUAGUCC
rnacentral:rRNA from 1 species